rnacentral:lncRNA from 1 species
CGAAAUUACACAAAAUACACCAACAGCAAAAUAUCUGAAUAACCUUUAAGCGGCCGUGCAUAUUGAUAAAAUGGUGCACGGUGUACAAAUCUCAUUGAUUGUUUCCACGAUGUCUUGACAAGAAAAGAGCCAUCGAUCCUUUCAAUUUUCACCUCAAUCUUCCACAAAAGCACCAAAGAAAGCCAGACCACACAGAUGACCAUCACACUCCCUGAUGAUAUAUCAUCAAGAAAAAAUAGAGCAAUAAUUAGUUGUUUGUUCAUCAAUUUCAAUGUGCUCGUGCACGCACUACAGGCAACUGAAGUAGUACAAAAAAGCUACCAAAAUGUCAAUAUAAAUUAAACUCCCUUAAAUGAAAAAAGCAUGAUUAUUUCUACAAGCCAAUUAGUGGUAACGACAAAAAAAAUUACCAGAUAUUGCACCAGCUGAUGCCCUUCAAUCUAUGAUGAUGAUCUUCAGAUUCUCAUUUCC